AAAUAAUCAUGAUUUGUUUAGUUUGAUACUCUAGAGCCGGACUGAACAUGAGUUACUAUAGAUGUUCACCCUCCUGGCCGGCUGAAAUAGGAUAUAGUCAAACUUCAAUUGAUGCAUUAAAACAUGUGGUAAAGGUUGAGAUCAUCCACAAACUGAAACAAUUUCAUCUAUUAAGUUCUACAAACCACAUAAAUAAUUUGACUUUGCACAAAAAUAAUUAUUGGAAAAGGUGUAAGAUAAAGGGAUUUGCUGGAGCAGUAAUUUUUCACCAACUCUCCCAAUAGGGUAGAACAGAUCCACAAUCCCCAAUCUAACUACAAUAUUAAAAGCCAAAGAGCAUGGGAUGCAAUCUAAUAAUUUCAUCAAUAAUAUUCUACAAACCACAUAAAUAAUUUGACUUCGCACAAAAAUAAUUAUUGGAAAAGGUGAAAGAUAAAUGAGAU
rnacentral:lncRNA from 1 species